rnacentral:rRNA from 1 species
CAUGCAAGUCGAGCGCAGGAAACUGACGGAACUCUUCGGAGGGAAGGCAGCGGAAUGAGCGGCGGACGGGUGAGUAACACGUAAGGAACCUGCCUCAAGGAUUGGGAUAACUCCGAGAAAUCGGAGCUAAUACCGGAUAGUUCAUCGGACCGCAUGGUCCGUUGAUGAAAGGCGCUUCGGCGUCACCUUGAGAUGGCCUUGCGGUGCAUUAGCUAGUUGGUGAGGUAACGGCUCACCAAGGCGACGAUGCAUAGCCGACCUGAGAGGGUGAUCGGCCACACUGGGACUGAGACACGGCCCAGACUCCUACGGGAGGCAGCAGUAGGGAAUCUUCCACAAUGGACGAAAGUCUGAUGGAGCAACGCCGCGUGAGUGAUGAAGGUUUUCGGAUCGUAAAACUCUGUUGUAAGGGAAGAACACGUACGAGAGGAAAUGCUCGUACCUUGACGGUACCUUACGAGAAAGCCACGGCUAACUACGUGCCAGCAGCCGCGGUAAUACGUAGGUGGCAAGCGUUGUCCGGAAUUAUUGGGCGUAAAGCGCGCGCAGGCGGCCUUUUAAGUCUGAUGUGAAAGCCCCCGGCUCAACCGGGGAGGGCCAUUGGAAACUGGAAGGCUUGAGUACAGAAGAGAAGAGUGGAAUUCCACGUGUAGCGGUGAAAUGCGUAGAGAUGUGGAGGAACACCAGUGGCGAAGGCGACUCUUUGGUCUG